rnacentral:rRNA from 1 species
CCGUAACUGACGCUGAGUGUGCGAAAGCUAGGGGAGCAAACGGGAUUAGAUACCCCGGUAGUCCUAGCCGUAAACGAUGGGCACUAAGUAGAGGGGUUUUGAUUAUCUCUCUGCCGGAGCUAACGCAUUAAGUGCCCCGCCUGGGGAGUACGGCCGCAAGGCUAAAACUCAAAAGAAUUGACGGGGGCUCGCACAAGCGGUGGAGCAUGUGGCUUAAUUCGAUGCAACGCGAAGAACCUUACCGGGGCUUGACAUGAUAGAAGUAGGAACCCGAAAGGGCGACGAACGGUAUCCAGCCCGAAACUAUCACAGGUGUUGCAUGGCUGUCGUCAGCUCGUGUCGUGAGACGUUGGGUUAAGUCCCCUAACGAGCGAAACCCUUGUCUUUAGUUGCCAUCAGGUUAUGCUGGGCACUCUAAAGAGACUGCUGUCGUCAAGACGGAGGAAGGUGGGGAUGACGUCAAGUCAUCAUGGCCCUUAUGUCCCGGGCUGCACACGUGCUACAAUGGUUGGUACAAAGGGAUGCUAAACUGUAAAGCGGAGCGAAACCCAUAAAACCGAUCUCAGUAUCGCUAGUAAUCGCGGAUCAGCUACGCCGCGGUGAAUAUGUUCCCGAGCCUUGUACACACCGCCCGUCAAGCCACCCAAGCAAGAUGCACCCAAAAUCGCUGGCCAAACCCGUAAGGGAUGGAAGUGCUUAAGGUGUGUUUUGUGAGGAGGACUAAGUCGUAACAAGGUAGUCGUAGGAGAACCUGCGGCUGGAUCACCUCCUUUCUAAGGA